UCCUAGGCGGCGGCCGCGGCGGCGGAGGCAGCAGCGGCGGCGGCAGUGGCGGCGGCGAAGGUGGCGGCGGCUCGGCCAGUACUCCCGGCCCCCGCCAUUUCGGACUGGGAGCGAGCGCGGCGCAGGCACUGAAGGCGGCGGCGGGGCCAGAGGCUCAGCGGCUCCCAGGUGCGGGAGAGAGGCCUGCUGAAAAUGACUGAAUAUAAACUUGUGGUAGUUGGAGCUGGUGGCGUAGGCAAGAGUGCCUUGACGAUACAGCUAAUUCAGAAUCAUUUUGUGGACGAAUAUGAUCCAACAAUAGAGAGAACAAAUUAAAAGAGUUAAGGACUCUGAAGAUGUACCUAUGGUCCUAGUAGGAAAUAAAUGUGAUUUGCCUUCUAGAACAGUAGACACAAAACAGGCUCAGGACUUAGCAAGAAGUUAUGGAAUUCCUUUUAUUGAAACAUCAGCAAAGACAAGACAGAGAGUGGAGGAUGCUUUUUAUACAUUGGUGAGAGAGAUCCGACAAUACAGAUUGAAAAAAAUCAGCAAAGAAGAAAAGACUCCUGGCUGUGUGAAAAUUAAAAAAUGCAUUAUAAUGUAAUCUGGGUGUUGAUGAUGCCUUCUAUACAUUAGUUCGAGAAAUUCGAAAACAUAAAGAAAAGAUGAGCAAAGAUGGUAAAAAGAAGAAAAAGAAGUCAAAGACAAAGUGUGUAAUUAUGUAAAUACAAUUUGUACUUUUUUCUUAAGGCAUACUAGUACAAGUGGUAAUUUUUGUACAUUACACUAAAUUAUUAGCAUUUGUUUUAGCAUUACCUAAUUUUUUUCCUGCUCCAUGCAGACUGUUAGCUUUUACCUUAAAUGCUUAUUUUAAAAUGACAGUGGAAGUUUUUUUUUCCUCUAAGUGCCAGUAUUCCCAGAGUUUUGGUUUUUGAACUAGCAAUGCCUGUGAAAAAGAAACUGAAUACCUAAGAUUUCUGUCUUGGGGCUUUUGGUGCAUGCAGUUGAUUACUUCUUAUUUUUCUUACCAAUUGUGAAUGUUGGUGUGAAACAAAUUAAUGAAGCUUUUGAAUCAUCCCUAUUCUGUGUUUUAUCUAGUCACAUAAAUGGAUUAAUUACUAAUUUCAGUUGAGACCUUCUAAUUGGUUUUUACUGAAACAUUGAGGGAACACAAAUUUAUGGGCUUCCUGAUGAUGAUUCUUCUAGGCAUCAUGUCCUAUAGUUUGUCAUCCCUGAUGAAUGUAAAGUUACACUGUUCACAAAGGUUUUGUCUCCUUUCCACUGCUAUUAGUCAUGGUCACUCUCCCCAAAAUAUUAUAUUUUUUCUAUAAAAAGAAAAAAAUGGAAAAAAAUUACAAGGCAAUGGAAACUAUUAUAAGGCCAUUUCCUUUUCACAUUAGAUAAAUUACUAUAAAGACUCCUAAUAGCUUUUCCUGUUAAGGCAGACCCAGUAUGAAAUGGGGAUUAUUAUAGCAACCAUUUUGGGGCUAUAUUUACAUGCUACUAAAUUUUUAUAAUAAUUGAAAAGAUUUUAACAAGUAUAAAAAAUUCUCAUAGGAAUUAAAUGUAGUCUCCCUGUGUCAGACUGCUCUUUCAUAGUAUAACUUUAAAUCUUUUCUUCAACUUGAGUCUUUGAAGAUAGUUUUAAUUCUGCUUGUGACAUUAAAAGAUUAUUUGGGCCAGUUAUAGCUUAUUAGGUGUUGAAGAGACCAAGGUUGCAAGGCCAGGCCCUGUGUGAACCUUUGAGCUUUCAUAGAGAGUUUCACAGCAUGGACUGUGUCCCCACGGUCAUCCAGUGUUGUCAUGCAUUGGUUAGUCAAAAUGGGGAGGGACUAGGGCAGUUUGGAUAGCUCAACAAGAUACAAUCUCACUCUGUGGUGGUCCUGCUGACAAAUCAAGAGCAUUGCUUUUGUUUCUUAAGAAAACAAACUCUUUUUUAAAAAUUACUUUUAAAUAUUAACUCAAAAGUUGAGAUUUUGGGGUGGUGGUGUGCCAAGACAUUAAUUUUUUUUUUAAACAAUGAAGUGAAAAAGUUUUACAAUCUCUAGGUUUGGCUAGUUCUCUUAACACUGGUUAAAUUAACAUUGCAUAAACACUUUUCAAGUCUGAUCCAUAUUUAAUAAUGCUUUAAAAUAAAAAUAAAAACAAUCCUUUUGAUAAAUUUAAAAUGUUACUUAUUUUAAAAUAAAUGAAGUGAGAUGGCAUGGUGAGGUGAAAGUAUCACUGGACUAGGAAGAAGGUGACUUAGGUUCUAGAUAGGUGUCUUUUAGGACUCUGAUUUUGAGGACAUCACUUACUAUCCAUUUCUUCAUGUUAAAAGAAGUCAUCUCAAACUCUUAGUUUUUUUUUUUUACAACUAUGUAAUUUAUAUUCCAUUUACAUAAGGAUACACUUAUUUGUCAAGCUCAGCACAAUCUGUAAAUUUUUAACCUAUGUUACACCAUCUUCAGUGCCAGUCUUGGGCAAAAUUGUGCAAGAGGUGAAGUUUAUAUUUGAAUAUCCAUUCUCGUUUUAGGACUCUUCUUCCAUAUUAGUGUCAUCUUGCCUCCCUACCUUCCACAUGCCCCAUGACUUGAUGCAGUUUUAAUACUUGUAAUUCCCCUAACCAUAAGAUUUACUGCUGCUGUGGAUAUCUCCAUGAAGUUUUCCCACUGAGUCACAUCAGAAAUGCCCUACAUCUUAUUUCCUCAGGGCUCAAGAGAAUCUGACAGAUACCAUAAAGGGAUUUGACCUAAUCACUAAUUUUCAGGUGGUGGCUGAUGCUUUGAACAUCUCUUUGCUGCCCAAUCCAUUAGCGACAGUAGGAUUUUUCAAACCUGGUAUGAAUAGACAGAACCCUAUCCAGUGGAAGGAGAAUUUAAUAAAGAUAGUGCUGAAAGAAUUCCUUAGGUAAUCUAUAACUAGGACUACUCCUGGUAACAGUAAUACAUUCCAUUGUUUUAGUAACCAGAAAUCUUCAUGCAAUGAAAAAUACUUUAAUUCAUGAAGCUUACUUUUUUUUUUUGGUGUCAGAGUCUCGCUCUUGUCACCCAGGCUGGAAUGCAGUGGCGCCAUCUCAGCUCACUGCAACCUCCAUCUCCCAGGUUCAAGCGAUUCUCGUGCCUCGGCCUCCUGAGUAGCUGGGAUUACAGGCGUGUGCCACUACACUCAACUAAUUUUUGUAUUUUUAGGAGAGACGGGGUUUCACCCUGUUGGCCAGGCUGGUCUCGAACUCCUGACCUCAAGUGAUUCACCCACCUUGGCCUCAUAAACCUGUUUUGCAGAACUCAUUUAUUCAGCAAAUAUUUAUUGAGUGCCUACCAGAUGCCAGUCACCACACAAGGCACUGGGUAUAUGGUAUCCCCAAACAAGAGACAUAAUCCCGGUCCUUAGGUAGUGCUAGUGUGGUCUGUAAUAUCUUACUAAGGCCUUUGGUAUACGACCCAGAGAUAACACGAUGCGUAUUUUAGUUUUGCAAAGAAGGGGUUUGGUCUCUGUGCCAGCUCUAUAAUUGUUUUGCUACGAUUCCACUGAAACUCUUCGAUCAAGCUACUUUAUGUAAAUCACUUCAUUGUUUUAAAGGAAUAAACUUGAUUAUAUUGUUUUUUUAUUUGGCAUAACUGUGAUUCUUUUAGGACAAUUACUGUACACAUUAAGGUGUAUGUCAGAUAUUCAUAUUGACCCAAAUGUGUAAUAUUCCAGUUUUCUCUGCAUAAGUAAUUAAAAUAUACUUAAAAAUUAAUAGUUUUAUCUGGGUACAAAUAAACAGGUGCCUGAACUAGUUCACAGACAAGGAAACUUCUAUGUAAAAAUCACUAUGAUUUCUGAAUUGCUAUGUGAAACUACAGAUCUUUGGAACACUGUUUAGGUAGGGUGUUAAGACUUACACAGUACCUCGUUUCUACACAGAGAAAGAAAUGGCCAUACUUCAGGAACUGCAGUGCUUAUGAGGGGAUAUUUAGGCCUCUUGAAUUUUUGAUGUAGAUGGGCAUUUUUUUAAGGUAGUGGUUAAUUACCUUUAUGUGAACUUUGAAUGGUUUAACAAAAGAUUUGUUUUUGUAGAGAUUUUAAAGGGGGAGAAUUCUAGAAAUAAAUGUUACCUAAUUAUUACAGCCUUAAAGACAAAAAUCCUUGUUGAAGUUUUUUUAAAAAAAGCUAAAUUACAUAGACUUAGGCAUUAACAUGUUUGUGGAAGAAUAUAGCAGACGUAUAUUGUAUCAUUUGAGUGAAUGUUCCCAAGUAGGCAUUCUAGGCUCUAUUUAACUGAGUCACACUGCAUAGGAAUUUAGAACCUAACUUUUAUAGGUUAUCAAAACUGUUGUCACCAUUGCACAAUUUUGUCCUAAUAUAUACAUAGAAACUUUGUGGGGCAUGUUAAGUUACAGUUUGCACAAGUUCAUCUCAUUUGUAUUCCAUUGAUUUUUUUUUUCUUCUAAACAUUUUUUCUUCAAACAGUAUAUAACUUUUUUUAGGGGAUUUUUUUUUAGACAGCAAAAACUAUCUGAAGAUUUCCAUUUGUCAAAAAGUAAUGAUUUCUUGAUAAUUGUGUAGUAAUGUUUUUUAGAACCCAGCAGUUACCUUAAAGCUGAAUUUAUAUUUAGUAACUUCUGUGUUAAUACUGGAUAGCAUGAAUUCUGCAUUGAGAAACUGAAUAGCUGUCAUAAAAUGAAACUUUCUUUCUAAAGAAAGAUACUCACAUGAGUUCUUGAAGAAUAGUCAUAACUAGAUUAAGAUCUGUGUUUUAGUUUAAUAGUUUGAAGUGCCUGUUUGGGAUAAUGAUAGGUAAUUUAGAUGAAUUUAGGGGAAAAAAAAGUUAUCUGCAGAUAUGUUGAGGGCCCAUCUCUCCCCCCACACCCCCACAGAGCUAACUGGGUUACAGUGUUUUAUCCGAAAGUUUCCAAUUCCACUGUCUUGUGUUUUCAUGUUGAAAAUACUUUUGCAUUUUUCCUUUGAGUGCCAAUUUCUUACUAGUACUAUUUCUUAAUGUAACAUGUUUACCUGGAAUGUAUUUUAACUAUUUUUGUAUAGUGUAAACUGAAACAUGCACAUUUUGUACAUUGUGCUUUCUUUUGUGGGACAUAUGCAGUGUGAUCCAGUUGUUUUCCAUCAUUUGGUUGCGCUGACCUAGGAAUGUUGGUCAUAUCAAACAUUAAAAAUGACCACUCUUUUAAUUGAAAUUAACUUUUAAAUGUUUAUAGGAGUAUGUGCUGUGAAGUGAUCUAAAAUUUGUAAUAUUUUUGUCAUGAACUGUACUACUCCUAAUUAUUGUAAUGUAAUAAAAAUAGUUACAGUGACUAUGAGUGUGUAUUUAUUCAUGAAAUUUGAACUGUUUGCCCCGAAAUGGAUAUGGAAUACUUUAUAAGCCAUAGACACUAUAGUAUACCAGUGAAUCUUUUAUGCAGCUUGUUAGAAGUAUCCUUUAUUUCUAAAAGGUGCUGUGGAUAUUAUGUAAAGGCGUGUUUGCUUAAACUUAAAACCAUAUUUAGAAGUAGAUGCAAAACAAAUCUGCCUUUAUGACAAAAAAAUAGGAUAACAUUAUUUAUUUAUUUCCUUUUAUCAA
rnacentral:misc_RNA from 1 species